rnacentral:rRNA from 1 species
AGCGAACGCUGGCGGCAGGCCUAACACAUGCAAGUCGAACGAAGUCUUCGGACUUAGUGGCGGACGGGUGAGUAACACGUGGGAACGUGCCUUUAGGUUCGGAAUAACUCAGGGAAACUUGUGCUAAUACCGAAUGUGCCCUUCGGGGAAAGAUUUAUCGUCUUUAGAGCGGCCCGCGUCUGACUAGCUAGUUGGGCAGGUAAAGGCUCACCAAGGCUACGAUCAGUAGCUGGUCUGAGAGGACGACCAGCCACAUUGGGACCGAGACACGGCCCAAACUCCUACGGGAGGCAGCAGUGGGGAAUCUUGCGUAAUGGGCGAAAGCCUGACGCAGCCAUGCCGCGUGGAUGAUGAAGGUCUUAGGAUUGUAAAAUCCUUUCACCGGUGAAGAUAAUGACUGUAGCCGGAGAAGAAGCCCCGGCUAACUUCGUGCCAGCCGCCGCAGUAACAC